CAGUCGCCGCGGGAAUACAGAGGGUGCGAGCGUUAAUCGGAUUUACUGGGCGUAAAGCGUGCGUAGGCGGCUUCUUAAGUCGGAUGUGAAAUCCCUGAGCUUAACUUAGGAAUUGCAUUCGAUACUGGGAAGCUAGAGUAUGGGAGAGGAUGGUAGAAUUCCAGGUGUAGCGGUGAAAUGCGUAGAGAUCUGGAGGAAUACCGAUGGCGAAGGCAGCCAUCUGGCCUAAUACUGACGCUCAUGCACGAAAGCGUGGGGAGCAAACAGGAUUAGAUACCCCCGUAGUCCCUGUCUCUUAUAC
rnacentral:rRNA from 1 species